rnacentral:tRNA from 1 species
ACGCCCGUAGCUCAAUGGUAGAGCGAACGACUUAUACUCGUUUGGUUGGGGGUUCGAGUCCCUCCGGGCGUA